rnacentral:rRNA from 1 species
GACGAACGCUGGCGGCGUGCUUAACACAUGCAAGUCGAACGGAAAGGCCCUGCUUGUGUGGGGUGCUCGAGGGGCAAACGUGUGUGUAACAUGAGAGUAACCUGCUUGUGACUUUGGUAUGACUUCAGGAAACUGUGUCUUAUACCGGAUUGGAGCUCCUGCUGCAUGGGGGGGGUGGGAAAGUUUCGGCGGUUGGGGAUGGACUCGCGGCUUAUCAGCUUGUUGGUGGGGUAGUGGCUUACCAAGGCUUUGACGGGUAGCCGGCCUGAGGGGGUGACCGGCAACAUUGGGACUGGGAUAGGGCCCAGCCUCCUACGGGAGGCAGCAGUGGGGAAUAUUGCACAAUGGGCGGAAGCCUGAUGCAGCAACGCCGCGUGCGGGAUGACGGCCUUCGGGUUGUAACCCGCUUUCGCAUGUGACGAAGCGUGAGUGACGAUACUGGGUAAAGAAGCACCGGCUAACUACGUG